CGCCGACGCCUGGGCGCUCCCCCCUGUGCAGCCCAGCGGAGCUCAGCAGAACAAGCCGGGCGCGAUGGAUCGGGCGCAGGUGAUAAAGACCCUCCUGGCCAGGCCUCUUCGGGCCGACGCGCGUCGGUGGAGGAACCCGAUUCCCUUUCCCGAGACGUUUGACGGCGAUACCGACCGGCUCCCGGAGUUCAUCGUGCAGACGGGCUCGUACAUGUUCGUGGACGAGAAGACGUUCUCCAGCGACGCCCUGAAGGUGACGUUCCUCAUCACCCGCCUCACGGGGCCGGCCCUGCAGUGGGUGAUCCCCUACAUCAAGAAGAACAGCCCCCUCCUCAACGAUUACCGGGGCUUCCUGGCCGAGAUGAAGCGGGUCUUUGGAUGGGAGGAGGACGAGGACUUCUAGGCCCGGAGACCCUCGGGCCUAGGGGCGGGUGCUCUGGGGAGGGUCCUCUGUGCCAGUUGCUGCCUCCAGGGUCGCCAGCGGCGCCCUCCCGCUGCACCUCCAUCCCCACACCUCGAGUCGCCGUGAUCUCCAGUGCGUUCCUGUCCCCUCCUGUGUCGUGCUUGCCUUUGUUCCAGGAAUAGCGCUCCAGGCUGGCGCUGCUGCCUCUGGGCCUUGCUCUGGAGAGCGCCGCCGCCCUCUCCUACCAGCCGAGCCCCUCCCAUGCACAUUUGGACGCUGUCCUGUGCUCCAGCUGCAAGCUGGGGUCCUGUUACACACUGGACAGACCACCGCAGCUGGCCGCUGCCCACCGUCCCCCUGCCACACUGCCAGAUUCCUGUGUCAUUCUGCCCAUAUGCCUGUGCUGCCACUGCCAUGGCUAUCACCAUCUCCAUCCACCACAUCCCACCAGCAGACUGCCGUUCUUAGUGAUCUGGACUCACCUUGGGGGUAUCUGAGCUGGCCACAGCCCUUGGACAAUGAUUCAGACAGCUGGUUACCCCUUGUGUUCCUGUUAUAUGGCUGGCAGGGCCCAGGUGUGCCUGAGGGCCAAAUCCAGUCACUCAUUUUUCCUAUGGACCAGUUAGUUUUGCUCAGAAUCCGUUUCUCUUCUGAAUUUGCAACUGUCUCUGAUGUGUGCCUUUUGUUCAACACUAAAACCCCUGCAGUCUGCCCUGCUCUUCUAUACUACCUGUACAAAGUCUUUUCUUAUUUUCAAUAAAUGUCAGACACUAUU